CCGCCUGCCUCGGGGGGGCCGUCAUCGGCCUGAGAUGUAUGCAUGCAUGCGGACCCGUUGAACCUGAACCGGAUUAUGCCGGCGGAGGGAAGGCGGAUGUGCCGCGC
rnacentral:ncRNA from 1 species